UAAGUUCCCUGUCUUUACUUGCCCCUGUCCUCCUCUUGGGUGACUUCAGGUUUCAGGUAUGGGGCUUUUGAGGUCUCAUAGCUUUGCUGUGGUUUUGGUGCUGUCUGCUCCUGAUGCCUGGGCCUCAGACAGCUAUGUCACAGCUGCCUACAAGCAGUGUGCACUUGUCAGAGGACAGAGAAAUGUCUGCUUCUCCUGAGGAUGAUGAUGUUGAUGGCAGAAAUAUGGAUAUUUUGGAAGCGGCUGUCAACAAAGCAGCAGUGGCUUACAAGGAGGCUGCGAGAAGAUCUCUUUGGUCCCUCCAGCAGCCUGAAUGGAGGUUGCAGUGAGAAUGGUGUCUCUCUCCUUUCCUCAGUACAGAAAAGACUGAGCUGUGCUGCCUGUGCUGGCAAGGAAUUAUUCCAUCUACGUGGUUGUGAAUAUGGGGAACCAGAAGCCAUGUAAGUUCAGUGAUCCAAGGUAACCAAGAGUGAUGGUUACUACCAGUACAAUACCAACAUUGUCUUUGAUUCCAAAA